UUUGAUCCUGGCUCAGAUUGAACGCUGGCGGCAUGCCUUACACAUGCAAGUCGAACGGCAGCACGGGAGCAAUCCUGGUGGCGAGUGGCGAACGGGUGAGUAAUACAUCGGAACGUGCCCAAUCGUGGGGGAUAACGCAGCGAAAGCUGUGCUAAUACCGCAUAAGAUCUACGGAUGAAAGCAGGGGAUCGCAAGACCUUGCGCGAAUGGAGCGGCCGAUGGCAGAUUAGGUAGUUGGUGAGGUGAAGGCUCACCAAGCCUUCGAUCUGUAGCUGGUCUGAGAGGACGACCAGCCACACUGGGACUGAGACACGGCCCAGACUCCUACGGGAGGCAGCAGUGGGGAAUUUUGGACAAUGGGCGCAAGCCUGAUCCAGCCAUGCCGCGUGCAGGAUGAAGGCCUUCGGGUUGUAAACUGCUUUUGUACGGAACGAAACGGCUCUUUCUAAUAAAGAGGGCUAAUGACGGUACCGUAAGAAUAAGCACCGGCUAACUACGUGCCAGCAGCCGCGGUAAUACGUAGGGUGCAAGCGUUAAUUGGAAUUACUGGGCGUAAAGCGUGCGCAGGCGGUGAUGUAAGACAGUUGUGAAAUCCCCGGGCUCAACCUGGGAACUGCAUCUGUGACUGCAUCGCUGGAGUGCGGCAGAGGGGGAUGGAAUUCCGCGUGUAGCAGUGAAAUGCGUAGAUAUGCGGAGGAACACCGAUGGCGAAGGCAAUCCCCUGGGCCUGCACUGACGCUCAUGCACGAAAGCGUGGGGAGCAAACAGGAUUAGAUACCCUGGUAGUCCACGCCCUAAACGAUGUCAACUGGUUGUUGGGUCUUCACUGACUCAGUAACGAAGCUAACGCGUGAAGUUGACCGCCUGGGGAGUACGGCCGCAAGGUUGUAACUCAAAGGAAUUGACGGGGACCCGCACAAGCGGUGGAUGAUGUGGUUUAAUUCGAUGCAACGCGAAAAACCUUACCCACCUUUGACAUGUACGGAAUUUGCCAGAGAUGGCUUAGUGCUCGAAAGAGAGCCGUAACACAGGUGCUGCAUGGCUGUCGUCAGCUCGUGUCGUGAGAUGUUGGGUUAAGUCCCGCAACGAGCGCAACCCUUGUCAUUAGUUGCUACAUUUAGUUGGGCACUCUAGUGAGACUGCCGGUGACAAACCGGAGGAAGGUGGGGAUGACGUCAAGUCCUCAUGGCCCUUAUAGGUGGGGCUACACACUUCAUACAAUGGCUGGUACAAAGGGUUGCCAACCCGCGAGGGGGAGCUAAUCCCAUAAAACCAGUCGUAGUCCGGAUCGCAGUCUGCAACUCGACUGCGUGAAGUCGGAAUCGCUAGUAAUCGUGGAUCAGAAUGUCACGGUGAAUACGUUCCCGGGUCUUGUACACACCGCCCGUCACACCAUGGGAGCGGGUUCUGCCAGAAGUAGUUAGCCUAACCGCAAGGAGGGCGAUUACCACGGCAGGGUUCGUGACUGGGGUGAAGUCGUAACAAGGUA
rnacentral:rRNA from 1 species